AACGUAGGAGACAAACGUUAUCCGGAGUUACUGGGCGUAAAGGGCGUGUAGGUGGUAUCGUAAGUCUGGCGUGAAAUUUCUCGGCUUAACCGAGGCAGGUCGUCGGAUACUGCGAGGCUAGAGGACGGUAGAGGCGUGUGGAAUUCCGGGUGUAGUGGUGAAAUGCGUAGAGAUCCGGAGGAACACCAGUGGCGAAGGCGACACGCUGGGCCGUACCUGACACUGAUGCGCGACAGUAUGGGGAGCAAACAGG
rnacentral:rRNA from 1 species